CGAACUCUGGUAUUGAUUGGUGCUUGCAUCAUGAUUUACAUUUGAGUGAGUGGCGAACUGGUGAGUAACACGUGGGAAACCUGCCCAGAAGCGGGGGAUAACACCUGGAAACAGAUGCUAAUACCGCAUAACAACUUGGACCGCAUGGUCCGAGCUUGAAAGAUGGCUUCGGCUAUCACUUUUGGAUGGUCCCGCGGCGUAUUAGCUAGAUGGUGGGGUAACGGCUCACCAUGGCAAUGAUACGUAGCCGACCUGAGAGGGUAAUCGGCCACAUUGGGACUGAGACACGGCCCAAACUCCUACGGGAGGCAGCAGUAGGGAAUCUUCCACAAUGGACGAAAGUCUGAUGGAGCAACGCCGCGUGAGUGAAGAAGGGUUUCGGCUCGUAAAACUCUGUUGUUAAAGAAGAACAUAUCUGAGAGUAACUGUUCAGGUAUUGACGGUAUUUAACCAGAAAGCCACGGCUAACUACGUGCCAGCAGCCGCGGUAAUACGUAGGUGGCAAGCGUUGUCCGGAUUUAUUGGGCGUAAAGCGAGCGCAGGCGGUUUUUUAAGUCUGAUGUGAAAGCCUUCGGCUCAACCGAAGAAGUGCAUCGGAAACUGGGAAACUUGAGUGCAGAAGAGGACAGUGGGAACUCCAUGUGUAGCGGUGAAAUGCGUAGAUAUAUGGAAGAACACCAGUGGCGAAGGCGGCUGUCUGGUCUGUAACUGACGCUGAGGCUCGAAAGUAUGGGUAGCAAACAGGAUUAGAUACCCUGGUAGUCCAUACCGUAAACGAUGAAUGCUAAGUGUUGGAGGGUUUCCGCCCUUCAGUGCUGCAGCUAACGCAUUAAGCAUUCCGCCUGGGGAGUACGGCCGCAAGGCUGAAACUCAAAGGAAUUGACGGGGGCCCGCACAAGCGGUGGAGCAUGUGGUUUAAUUCGAAGCUACGCGAAGAACCUUACCAGGUCUUGACAUACUAUGCAAAUCUAAGAGAUUAGACGUUCCCUUCGGGGACAUGGAUACAGGUGGUGCAUGGUUGUCGUCAGCUCGUGUCGUGAGAUGUUGGGUUAAGUCCCGCAACGAGCGCAACCCUUAUUAUCAGUUGCCAGCAUUAAGUUGGGCACUCUGGUGAGACUGCCGGUGACAAACCGGAGGAAGGUGGGGAUGACGUCAAAUCAUCAUGCCCCUUAUGACCUGGGCUACACACGUGCUACAAUGGAUGGUACAACGAGUUGCGAACUCGCGAGAGUAAGCUAAUCUCUUAAAGCCAUUCUCAGUUCGGAUUGUAGGCUGCAACUCGCCUACAUGAAGUCGGAAUCGCUAGUAAUCGCGGAUCAGCAUGCCGCGGUGAAUACGUUCCCGGGCCUUGUACACACCGCCCGUCACACCAUG
rnacentral:rRNA from 2 species